UNCACGCCGUAAACGCUGAGUGCUAGGUGUUAGGUCCUUUCCGGGACUUAGUGCCGACGCUAACGCAUUAAGCACUCCGCCUGGGGAGUACGACCGCAAGGUUGAAACUCAAAGGAAUUGACGGGGGCCCGCACAAGCGGUGGAGCAUGUGGUUUAAUUCGAAGCAACGCGAAGAACCUUACCAGGUCUUGACAUCCCGAUGCCCGCUCUAGAGAUAGAGUUUUACUUUUUGUACAUCGGAGACAGGUGGUGCAUGGUUGUCGUCAGCUCGUGUCGUGAGAUGUUGGGUUAAGUCCCGCAACGAGCGCAACCCUUAUUGUUAGUUGCCAUCAUUAAGUUGGGCACUCUAGCGAGACUGCCGGUAAUAAACCGGAGGAAGGUGGGGAUGACGUCAAAUCAUCAUGCCCCUUAUGACCUGGGCUACACACGUGCUGCAAUGGCUGGUACAACGAGUCGCAAGCCGGUGACGGCAAGCUAAUCUCUGAAAGCCAAUCUCAGUUCGGAUUGUAGGCUGCAACUCGCCUACAUGAAGUCGGAAUCGCUAGUAAUCGCGGAUCAGCACGCCGCGGUGAAUACGUUCCCGGGCCUUGUACACACCGCCCGUCACACCACGAGAGUUUGUAACACCCAAAGUCGGUGAGGNA
rnacentral:rRNA from 1 species